CGAAUUGUCCAACUAGCUGUCCGA
rnacentral:siRNA from 1 species